GAUGAACGCUGGCGGCGUGCCUAAUACAUGCAAGUCGAGCGAACGGACGAGAAGCUUGCUUCUCUGAUGUUAGCGGCGGACGGGUGAGUAACACGUGGAUAACCUACCUAUAAGACUGGGAUAACUUCGGGAAACCGGAGCUAAUACCGGAUAAUAUUUUGAAUCGCAUGGUUCAAAAGUGAAAGACGGUCUUGCUGUCACUUAUAGAUGGAUCCGCGCUGCAUUAGCUAGUUGGUAAGGUAACGGCUUACCAAGGCAACGAUGCAUAGCCGACCUGAGAGGGUGAUCGGCCACACUGGAACUGAGACACGGUCCAGACUCCUACGGGAGGCAGCAGUAGGGAAUCUUCCGCAAUGGGCGAAAGCCUGACGGAGCAACGCCGCGUGAGUGAUGAAGGUCUUCGGAUCGUAAAACUCUGUUAUUAGGGAAGAACAUAUGUGUAAGUAACUGUGCACAUCUUGACGGUACCUAAGCAGAAAGCCACGGCUAACUACGU
rnacentral:rRNA from 1 species